rnacentral:tRNA from 1 species
GGGACUGUAGCUCAGUGGUAGAGCGCGCGGCUCAUAACCGCUUGGUCGAUGGUUCGAUCCCAUCCAGUCCCACAA